GAUCUCUGCUAUUGUUUGUUAGUGAAGGGGCUAUUCAUUCAUAAAGCUGGACCCACCCAACCGAACAAAGAGACCCUUGGUGGCUGUUCAGGUGGACUCUAAGCCAAGAAAAAGGAAUUGCUUCAUUUCCUCAAGACUAAACUUUUGAUCAGCGCUGUGCGGUCAGGCUAAGAACUUAGAUGGAAUUUUAAACAAGGCAUUGACGGCAUUUCGGAAGCCACCAUCAAACAUCCUCCAAUUAAGGAAGCAACGUAACAAGGUGAUCUCCUUCUGCUCCUGACAAACAGGCCUUAUUGCUAUUCCUUAAACAAGCUAAACAUGCAUCAGAGGCAGUGAAAGGAUGGUUACAUAACAGAAGAUCAAUCAAACAACAAAAUAUAUUAAUGAUGAUGGAUGGGUGCCAGGUUCCUCAUUGUCAGAGAAGAGAGUUACAGAUACAUGAAGGAAGAAAAGUGGAAUGAACAUUCUAUGUUGGAUUGAAGUUAGAGAUAUAAGUAUGAAUCCCUGGAUUUCAGUAUGUAUAAAAAUAAAUGUAGACAUAACAUACAUGCAUGUCUUAAUUCUGGCCUGGAAUGGCAAUUCCCCAGUGCUAAUGAGUACACCAAGUGUCCAGAAGUUGGCUCUUAAAUACUAUUCUCCACUAAAAAAUCAUCAGGACUACUUAUAAAAAUGGCUGAUUCCAGGGUGGUACAGGGAGGGUACAAGAUCACCCUGGAACAUUUUCUUGUGCCACUGAGAAAGAAAAUACUUAAAAAAUGAUGGAGGUAUGUCAAAGGGACACAGAAGCCAAUCUGAAGGAAGUUUCCAUUGGCCCCAAAUGGGGACUAUUUUAACAAGAAAAUAAACACUGCUUGGAACAUAAAUUAAUAAACUGAAUUUUGGUGAAACUUUAUAUAGUUUCAAAGUACCACUUUACAAAAUACUUAUUAAUUAUAAAGGGAAAAAGAGUAACUGUAAAGUGGAGAAACCUGGCAGACAUCACGUUAAUCAAGUAAUCAGAGUUAAAUGGAACAAAUCUAAGUUCUCUGCCCUCUGAUAGGAUGAGACGGGAAGAACAAAGCAUUACUUCCUGACAAGGAUUCAGUACCUGAACUCAUGAGGAUCCCUCAGACAAAUCCAAAUUGAAGAACAUUCUACAAAAUAACUUGCCAGUAAUUCUCAAAAAUAUCAAGGUCUUGGAGGUCAAGAAAGACUGAGGAAUUGUUUGGUACUGAAGGAGUCUAAGGAGAUGUUACAAGUAAAUUUAGCAGGUGAUUCUAUGCUGCUUCCAUUGUCUGUAAAGGAGAUUUUAAGUGUUAAUUUUCUGAUUUUGAUGGUUGUACUGUGGUUAUAAAUUCAUAAUCUAUUCCAAGUUAUGGGGCAAGUUAGCAACUUGACUCUCAAAUGAUAUAAAGAAAAUUUCUUUGUACUGGAUUUGCAACUUUUCUCUGAGUUUCAGAUGGUAUCAGAAUAAAAUGAUGGAUACAAAGAAAAAGAAUACAACUCUUAUAAUUCUGUAGGUCAGGUAUUCAAGUGGGACUCAGCUGAGCAGUUUUUGUGCUCUGUGUAGCAAAGGUUUGGUCACUCACUCGGCUGCAUUUAGCAAGAUGCUGAGCUAGAAGUUCCAAGAAGUCUUCACUCGCUGUCUGGCUCCUCUCUGCUCCUCCAUGUGUACCACCCUCUUCCCCUGCAUGGAGUGUCAUCAUUCAGGAGUCCAGCCCAAGAUUCUUUUGGUCUGAUGGCUGGAUUUCCAGAGCCACAGAGAAGACAGCCAGGACUCUUAGUCUUUUCACCUGGAUGGUGGUUACACAGGAGUGCUCGCUUUGUAAAAAAUUAAUCAGGCCAUAUAUUUAAGCUUUUGUGUACCUUAUAGCAUAUAAAAUACUUCAAUAAAAAAAGUAAAAAUAAAUUAUAGUUACUGUUUUUCUAAUUGCACAUCCUCCUUUUUCACUUUUCUACUUAACACCAUGUAAUGGGGCAGAUUCUUCCUCGGAUGAAGCCAAGAUGGUAACAUAAGCAUGGGCAUUUGAUCACCUCCCUAUCCAACCCCCUACAGACACAGCCUAGGCAAAUAUAAAAUGGGUAAGUUUUGACUUAUUCUAGAAAAUAA
rnacentral:lncRNA from 1 species